rnacentral:rRNA from 1 species
UACAGGGGGGCAAGCGUUGUUCGGAAUUACUGGGCGUAAAGGGCCAGUAGGCGGCCAACUAAGUCACACGUGAAAUCCCCAGGCUUAACCUGGGAACUGCGUGUGAUACUGGAUGGCUUGAAUUUCGGGAGAGGGAUGCAGAAUUUCCAGGUGUAGCGGUGAAAUGCGUAGAUAUCUGGAGGAAUACCGGUGGCGAAGGCGGCAUCCUGGACCGACAUUGACGCUGAACGGCGAAAGCUAGGGGAGCAAACGGG